GAGGGUCGAGUUUGGUGUUUGGGCCACAAGCCCAAUUCCCCCAAACACCAAAAGGAACCAGUUCAUCAUGAUCAAGAACUCGCUUGAAGAAAUUCACGAACCGAAACCUGCGCACGCGGACAAGAAGUUGUUGCAGAAGCUCGUUGAUUCCCCUUCAAACAGAACCAUCACGCAUUCAGACCCGCGUAAACCCCAUCAUCUUCCUCUCGAUUCGACGUCGGUGCCAAGAAAUCAAAAACGGCGCAAGAGAACUCCACUUCGGAAUCGUCCCAAUCUCACGCUAAGAGCUACGCAUUUGACGAACGAUUUCGACUUCUCCUUCCACAAAGAACCAAGGUACGAGUUCGAAGCAAGAAUGGGACAAACGAAGGGAGAAGAAGCUUACCGGAUUUGAUGUGGAAACCAUAUAACUCGUGUUUUAAUUUUCUUCUUUCUCUAUGCUUCGGUUGUUGUUAUGUGUUCCCGAAUCGUUAUGUGUGAUGAGAAAAGAUCAUUUUAGAAGCAGGGAGUGUUGAAGAAUGAAGAUGUUGUGGAUUCAAGAUGCGCCCCUCUCGAUUUCUUGUCACGAUUUUGUCGCUGAGCCUCCACUGCAGAAUGGUAUGCUUCUGUUAGUUUCUUCUUUUUCCGUUUCUCGGUUUCUUUCUGCUACUCUCUUCUUCUUCCGUUUCUCGGUUUCUUUCUGCUAUUGUGGUUGUGGUUAGUUGGUUGGUUAUCGAAGUGUUGUUACGGUGAAGGGAUUGGAAUGGAGAGGUUCGGUUGGUGGUUGGAAUUGGAAGUUGGACGAAGUGAAUUCUGUUGAGUUUUUGUUGCAGGGUGAGAGCCGGUCACAGAGUAGUUGGUUAGAAGGGUUUGAGAGAAAAAAAUGGUUAGCCGUUGUUGUUGAGGGAAGUUAUGAUUUUUAUCAGUUGGAGGGAGUUUCGGUUAUAUGAGAUUUUUGUUAGGGAUUGGUGGUUGUUAUAGGUUGAAGAAGUUAUGAAGAAGCAGUUCUGGUUGUUAUGAAGGUUCAGGAUUUUGGCUUAGAAUUAUGCAGGUUUGGAAUGACUCUUGUUGAGAUUUCUUUUUUUCUUUUCUCUGUUAUGCUUCUGUCAUUUGGAUUUUCUGGAAAUUCCGUUUUUGGAGAUUUCUUCAGAAGGAUUUCCACCAAUCGGUUUUUUUCAUUGGUGAUGGUUUUAUGUUGGAGUAAAGAGUUCAGGAGUUCCUUGAAGGGUGGUAAGAAAAUGGUUUAAAAAGUUGGUUAUGGAGAAGUUGACGGAAACUCCGUUAGAAGUUUGUUGUAUAUGUAUUAAGGAGUGGAGGUUCUGUUAUAUAUUUUGUUAGAGGUUUUGGUUUUCAGUUGGAAAUUCGGUUAUUUGGUUAGAGCAUUUUGUUAUAGGGUGGUUUGGGUUGUUACAAAUGUGGAAGCUCAUUGGUGUAUUAGGAGAAAACAGUUAGAAGUUUGUUAUUUAUGUUUAUGAAAUUGUUUCGGUUGCCGGUUAAAAACAGUUUUGUUAUGCUUUCUUCUUCUGUUAUGAGAUUGGUUAGUUUAUAAUCAUCCGGUAAUUCCACCAGCAGUACCCCAUCAUACAGAAAACAAGCCUUCUUUUCAUCUUCCCAAGCAAAAAGCCACUUAUCAAUCCUAUCGGUUACGUUUCUUCUACUUAAAGCUUCAUCUUUAGCUUUCACUAUCUGUGCUUCAAUGCUAGCUAUUAACUCACAAGGAUCAACCAGACCAGAAUCUAUUAAUGGACUAGCUUUCUCGGCAACAGUACCGGUAUCAGGUUUUUGGCUCAAGAUGCAGGGCUUGAACUCAAUAGCUAAUGAAAGGCUUUGAAUGGGCUUUAUUGGAAUUGGAUGCUUGGACCGUUUGGAUUUCUAUGGAAUUCUUCGGCCUUAUGGGAUAUUGUUGUAAUGAUUUAUGUUAUGAAUUUGAAAUUAUUGUAAUGUUUAUGGUUGUAAUUAAAUGUAAUUUAGAAAUUGAAAUUGUGAUAGAAUUGAUGUAUCAUGAUUGAAUUGGAAUGGACUAUGGAUGUAUUGGUUGAAAAUGAAAGGUAUUGAAAAUGGUUAUUGGAUUGAAUCAAA